rnacentral:rRNA from 1 species
GAUGAACGCUGGCGGCGUGCCUAAUACAUGCAAGUCGAGCGAACAGACGAGGAGCUUGCUCCUCUGACGUUAGCGGCGGACGGGUGAGUAACACGUGGAUAACCUACCUAUAAGACUGGGAUAACUUCGGGAAACCGGAGCUAAUACCGGAUAAUAUAUUGAACCGCAUGGUUCAAUAGUGAAAGACGGUUUUGCUGUCACUUAUAGAUGGAUCCGCGCCGCAUUAGCUAGUUGGUAAGGUAACGGCUUACCAAGGCAACGAUGCUUAGCCGACCUGAGAGGGUGAUCGGCCACACGGGAACUGAGACACGGCCCAGACUCCUACGGGGGGCAGCAGUAGGGAAUCUUCCGCAAUGGGGGAAAGCCUGACGGAGCAACGCCGCGUGAGUGAUGAAGGUCUUCGGAUCGUAAAACGCUGUUAUUAGGGAAGAACAAAUGUGUAAGUAACUAUGCACGUCUUGACGGUACCUAAUCAGAAAGCCACGGCUAACUACGUG